UCGAACGGAAAGGCCCUGCUUGCAGGGUACUCGAGUGGCGAACGGGUGAGUAACACGUGGGUGAUCUGCCCUGCACUUCGGGAUAAGCUUGGGAAACUGGGUCUAAUACCGGAUAGGAACCAUCUUUAGUGUGGUGGUUGGAAAGUUUUUUCGGUGUAGGAUGAGCUCGCGGCCUAUCAGCUUGUUGGUGGGGUAAUGGCCUACCAAGGCGGCGACGGGUAGCCGGCCUGAGAGGGUGUACGGCCACAUUGGGACUGAGAUACGGCCCAGACUCCUACGGGAGGCAGCAGUGGGGAAUAUUGCACAAUGGGCGCAAGCCUGAUGCAGCGACGCCGCGUGGGGGAUGAAGGCCUUCGGGUUGUAAACUCCUUUCGCUAGGGACGAAGCUUUUUGUGACGGUACCUAGAUAAGAAGCACCGGCUAACUACGUGCCAGCAGCCGCGGUAAUACGUAGGGUGCGAGCGUUGUCCGGAAUUACUGGGCGUAAAGGGCUCGUAGGUGGUUUGUCGCGUCGUCUGUGAAAUUCUGGGGCUUAACUCCGGGCGUGCAGGCGAUACGGGCAUAACUUGAGUGCUGUAGGGGUAACUGGAAUUCCUGGUGUAGCGGUGAAAUGCGCAGAUAUCAGGAGGAACACCGAUGGCGAAGGCAGGUUACUGGGCAGUUACUGACGCUGAGGAGCGAAAGCAUGGGUAGCGAACAGGAU
rnacentral:rRNA from 1 species